rnacentral:rRNA from 1 species
UACGAAGGGGGCUAGCGUUGCUCGGAAUCACUGGGCGUAAAGGGUGCGUAGGCGGGUCUUAAGUCAGGGGUGAAAUCCUGGAGCUCAACUCCAGAACUGCCUUUGAUACUGAGGAUCUUGAGUUCGGGAGAGGUGAGUGGAACUGCGGAGUGUAGAGGUGAAAUUCGUAGAUAUUCGCAAGAACACCAGUGGCGAAGGCGGCUCACUGGCCCGAUACUGACGCUGAGGCACGAAAGCGUGGGGAGCAAACAGG